rfam:Halobacillus mangrovi strain KTB 131, complete genome.
UAAGAUUAGAAAAGGAAUGGUGCAGUAUCCUAGUCGGCCCUCCGUUCCUGAAGGCGGGCCUAAAAAUCCGCCAAAGGGCACAUCGAUGAAGUUCCUUGUGUUGGCUUGAGGCGCCCAGCCUUGGGUCGAUGCUGGGAGUUAAGGUCGCAGGGCGAUCCACAAAGGCAUGUGGGCGUUGACCCUGCUUCCGCGGAGGCCCAUCACUGUAAGAAUGUCUGAGCCAGAUGUUCUUAUGGAAUGGGGUAUGAACCUGCAGCAUAUGGAGUAACAUCUAUAUGCGCAGCGUAGCCUGCCUUGAGUGGUUUUGAGGGGAUUACAGUCAUGUGAGCAUCAACCAACUUCAGAUGGCCACUGAAGCGUAGAUGUGUUAACUGUAUGAAAUCAUAACUGCAAAAGAGGCUAAGGAACGGCUAAAGGCUGUCGGGGAAAUCCCCUAGGCUGUUCACAUUCAGGACAUGAUUCAGGAAUUAUAGUGCGGACUAAGUGGCAAUCUAGUCCAGCUUUCGGAAACGGAGCUGAGUCGAACUUAAAGGGGAACCGCCAGAGUGGUGACACUCGGUGCUCGAUUGGGAAAACCUACUAGACCUAAGCCGCAAUUUUUACCUGUCUCGUGACCAUUCCUUUCGCUACAUAA